ACUUGAGAUAUAAGGUUUAAAAGUCGCACAGUGUUUACACUGUGNCUUGUCUUUUGUAGAGGAAUUGUACGUUCAAUUGUACGAAUCCUUCAUU
rnacentral:snoRNA from 1 species